UACGUAGGGGGCAAGCGUUGUCCGGAUUUAUUGGGCGUAAAGCGCGUGUAGGCGGCCAGGUAGGUCCGUUGUGAAAACCCGAGGCUCAACCUCGGGCCUGCAGCCGAUACGGGCAGACUAGAGUUCGGCAGGGGAGACUGGAAUUCCUGGUGUAGCGGUGAAAUGCGCAGAUAUCAGGAGGAACACCGGUGGCGAAGGCGGGUCUCUGGGCCGAUACUGACGCUGAGGAGCGAAAGCGUGGGGAGCGAACAGG
rnacentral:rRNA from 1 species